rnacentral:lncRNA from 10 species
GUCUCGAUCUCUGCAGCCCUCGCGGCCCCCGCUGCCGCCGCGUUCCCCCAGUCACUGCGUCAACCCCCGCUGGGCCGCGGAGCCCUCAGCGCUGUCCGCGGAGGCCUGGCGGUGCGCGAUUACUGCGGAGCCGCGGGGCUGCACCGCCGCUUACACUUCCCUGAGCGCUGCCUGAGCUGGCUGCGAGCGCAUCGGGGAGAGACGGAGUCUCAGUGGCGUGAUCCUGGUUCACUGCAACCUCUGGGCCCCCCCCAACCCACUGCGAGUUCAAGCAAUUCUGCCUCAGCCUCCCAAGUAGCUGGGACUACAGUAGGUACCGCUUUCACCAUGUUGGUCAGGCUGGUCUCAAACUCCCAACCUCAGUGUCUCAUGGAGACAGAGUCUGCACAGUGGAAGGAACUUCAGAAAUAAUAUAUGGCCCAGGUUUUCACCGAAGGCAAACUCAACUUGGGGUAUUUUAUGCAUGGGGUUUGUAAGGAAGGAGACAACUGUCGCUACUCGCAUGACCUCUCUGACAGUCCGUAUAGUGUAGUGUGCAAGUAUUUUCAGCGAGGGUACUGUAUUUAUGGAGACCGCUGCAGAUAUGAACAUAGCAAACCAUUGAAACAGGAAGAAGCAACUGCUACAGAGCUAACUACAAAGUCAUCCCUUGCUGCUUCCUCAAGUCUCUCAUCGAUAGUUGGACCACUUGUUGAAAUGAAUACAGGCGAAGCUGAGUCA